AACGCACAUUGCGCCUGCCAGUACUCUGGCAGGCAUGCUUGCCCGAGCGUCAUUUCAACCCUCAAGCCCUGGCUGCUUGGUGUUGGGGCGAAUCUGCGGCCCUGCCGCAGGCCCUGAAGACGAGUGGCGGACCCCUAAGGCACCCCAGCGUAGUACUUUUCUUAGCUUGGGGUUCCCUGUGGGUGUUCUGUCGGUGGUAACACCCUUCUGUUUUUAACACAACUGGUUGACCUCGGAUCAAGUAGGAAUACCCGCUGAACUUAA
rnacentral:misc_RNA from 1 species